rnacentral:lncRNA from 1 species
CUCAGAGUGCAUAGCCAUACUGUGUAGGAGGAAGCAAAUUUAGAAGGAAACAGGCUUCAUUUAUUCUGCCUGAUAUGGUUAUCUCUCUGAGGCUUGUGCCCAUGCAAGCGAGAUGAGAGUGCGGAGGAAGGCGGGGGGACACGCUGUCAAAUGUCAAAUGUUUAGCAAAGACUUUGAACUCUGACAAUUGAGUCUUCCGGUAACUUGUGUCU